GAGAUGACGAGUCCAUUUCCCAUCUCUAUACAGCAGCCAACAUGGCCCAAAGUGGUAAGUAACUUUUCGUGAUUUGUUGCAUUCUUUUGAAGUUUUACUAACAUUGUGCCAGUUUUAUACUUUCAGGGACUCGGAAGAGGAACAACGAUGGAGGAGCAGGGUCGACCAACAGAGGAAGACGAGAUGACGAGUCCAUUUCCCAUCUCUAUACAGCAGCCAACAUGGCCCAAAGUGGUAAGUAACUUUUCGUGAUUUGUUGCAUUCUUUUGAAGUUUUACUAACAUUGUGCCAGUUUUAUACUUUCAGGGACUGGGAAGAGGAACAACGAUGGAGGAGCAAGGUCGACCAACAGCAAAAGACAGGAUGACGAGUCCAUUUCCCAUCUCUAUGCAGCAACCAAUAUGGCUCAAGGUUCAGAAGAAAUUUGAGGCUGACCAGGAUCCUGAAGUGAAGAGCAGUCCCUCUCCCAUUUAACAGCGUUCAUGAGCAGAAAGUGCGGAAGCAGAGAUAGCCACCUCUGAAGGUCAGUCUGGAGUGUUUUCUGCUGCAUUCAGAAAGUAUGGGGUGUAUAGUAGUUGUAAGUAGCGUUACAAAGGUGUUUCUUAGUCUUAGGUUUAGUUUGUAUAGUAUUUCCGGUAGGUGCAGUUGUGUUGUAGUUUGAGUUAGUAAGUAGGCUUUAGUUGAUAGUUAGACAGCUUAGAGGAGUGUAGGUUAUUAUUGUAAUUAAGGUAUUUGUUAGUUAGUGCAUGAUUAGUGCUUGUGGUGGAUAGGUUUGCAUGAUUAACACCCUAACAAGCAGGGUUCUCCAUGAGCUGUUUUACUGUGUUGGU